UACGUAGGGUGCAAGCGUUGUCCGGAAUUAUUGGGCGUAAAGAGCUCGUAGGCGGUUUGUCGCGUCUGCUGUGAAAACCUCAGGCUCAACCUGGGGCUUGCAGUGGGUACGGGCAGACUAGAGUGCGGUAGGGGUGACUGGAAUUCCUGGUGUAGCGGUGGAAUGCGCAGAUAUCAGGAGGAACACCGAUGGCGAAGGCAGGUCACUGGGCCGCAACUGACGCUGAGGAGCGAAAAGCAUGGGGAGCGAAACAGG
rnacentral:rRNA from 1 species